rnacentral:lncRNA from 1 species
GUCUCGUUUGAAGAAGAGAAAGGCGGAGCAAAGGAAGGAGAGGAGAAUUAUGGAGGGGAGGAGAAGAAAGGAGAGCUCCAUCCUUGCUAAUUUACUCUCCAAUGGAGUUGUAGCUGAGGAGUGCUCUUCCUCUUUGCUUCAACUUCGUCAACGGCUUGGGGCAGGUCCUACCAGCUGUUGUUAUUGUGCCAUUUUCACUGCUUAAUUAAAUAAAAUAUAUUUCUAAAUUAUAAUUCGUCAACUUUUAGCUGGGAAUCCUUCAUAUGAUUGAUUACUACGUUUUCUUUGUCCGUUAUUAUCACUUGAUGAUGACUGCUAAAACAAUUGCACUGGUAUUCGCAAUUCAAUUCAGAUCAGGUUAAAUUUGAAUAACAGCAGCAAUUG